rnacentral:rRNA from 1 species
UUAAAUUGAGAGUUUGAUCCUGGCUCAGGAUGAACGCUGGCGGCGUGCUUAACACAUGCAAGUCGAGCGAUGAAGUUUCCUUCGGGAAACGGAUUAGCGGCGGACGGGUGAGUAACACGUGGGUAACCUGCCUCAUAGAGUGGAAUAGCCUUCCGAAAGGAAGAUUAAUACCGCAUAACGUUGAAAGAUGGCAUCAUCAUUUAACCAAAGGAGCAAUCCGCUAUGAGAUGGACCCGCGGCGCAUUAGCUAGUUGGUGGGGUAACGGCCUACCAAGGCGACGAUGCGUAGCCGACCUGAGAGGGUGAUCGGCCACAUUGGGACUGAGACACGGCCCAGACUCCUACGGGAGGCAGCAGUGGGGAAUAUUGCACAAUGGGGGAAACCCUGAUGCA